UAUGCUUACCUUGAAAUUCGCGCCUAAGGAUGAGGCUGCGGUCGAUUAGCUUGUUGGUGGGGUAAUUGCCUACCAAGGCCGUGAUCGAUAGGGGCUCUUAGCGGAGUUGCCCCGAGAGGGAAUCUGAGACACUAUUCCCAGCUCUACGGAGUGCAGCAGUCGCGAAUCUUUUACAAUGCACGCAAGUGUGAUAGAGCGAACCAAAGUGCUUUCAUUUUUUGAAAGCUUUUCUUCGGUGUAAAUAACCGGAGGAAUAAGGACUGGGUAAGACCGGUGCCAGCCGCCGCGGUAAUCCCGGCAGUUCAAGUUGCAUCCAACAUUAUUGGGUCUAAAACAUCCGUAGCUUGUUCGUUAAGUUUCUUGUGAAAUCCUACCUCUCAAGGGUAGGGCGUGCAAGAAAUACUGACGGGCUCGAGAUCGGUAGGCGUAAGGAGUACGUCGGAGGUAGCAGUAAAAUGCGUUAAUCUUCGAUGGACUAACAAUCAGCGAAGGCACCUUACGAGGACGAAUCUGACAGUGAGGGAUGAAGGCCAGGGGCGCAAAACGGAUUAGAUACCCGUGUAGUCCU
rnacentral:rRNA from 1 species